AUGAACUAUAACCUGAGUGAAGCCCUCAAGACACUGAAGCUCUCCUCAGCAGACAGCACCUCGGACAGUGUAGAGAACUGCCUGGACUGCCUGCUGAAAGCCUUGGCCCAAAACAAUGUGGAAGCGAGUGAAAAGAUUCAGGAGAUGGGUGUUCUUCCUAUGAUGCCUUCAUUAUUGGCUAUACAGAACUCCUGCACACCAAAAGUAGCCAACAUCAUAGCAGAAUUGGCGAAAAACGAGUUUAUGCGGAGUCCCUGUGUGGAGGCAGGGCUAAUUCCCCCUCUGGUGCAGCUGCUCAACUGCAAAGACCAGGAGGUGCUGCUUCAGACGGGUCGAGCCCUGGGCAACAUCUGCUAUGACAGCCAUGAGGGCAGAAGUGCAGUUGACGAGGCGGGCGGGGCACAGAUAGUAGCAGAGCACAUUAAGGCUCUGGCCCCUAACACUGACUCGGCCACUGGGAAGCUCUUGACUGUCUUUUGUGGCAUGCUGAUGAACUAUAGCAAUGAUAAUGACACACUGCAGGCCCAGCUGAUCAGCAUGGGGGUGAUCCCCACUCUGGUGCAGCUUCUCGGGGUCCACUCCCAGAAUACGGCCCUCACAGAAAUGUGCCUCAUUGCCUUCGGAAACCUGGCAGAACUGGAAUCGAGUAAGGAGCAGUUUGCGUCUACAAACAUCGCAGAGGAGCUAGUGAGACUGUUCCGGAAGCAGGUGGAGCAUGAAAAGAAGGAGAUGAUCUUUGAGGUGCUGGCUCCGCUGGCUGAGAACGAUGUGAUCAAGCUACAGCUGGUGGAGGCAGGCCUGGUGGAGUGUCUGUUGGAUGUGGUUGGUCAGACGGUGGACAGUGACAGAGAGGAGGACACGGCUCAGCUGAAAACCGCCUCUGACCUCAUGGUGCUGCUGCUGCUGGGAGACGAGUCAAUGCAGAAACUGUUUGAUGGGGGUAAAGGUAACGUGUUCCAGAGGGUUCUCUCCUGGGUUCCGUCUAACAGCCACCAGCUUCAGCUAGCUGGCGCCCUGGCCAUCGCAAACUUCGCCCGCAACGAUGGGAACUGCAUCCACAUGGUGGACACGGGCAUUGUGCAGAUGCUGCUGGACCUUCUGGACAGGCAUGUGGAGGAGGGCAACGUCACCGUCCAGCACGCUGCUCUCAGUGCCCUCAGGAACCUGGCCAUCCCAGUGGUGAACAAGUCUAAGAUGCUCACGGCCGGCGUGACCGACGUGGUGCUGAGGUUCCUCCCGUCCGAGAUGCCACCGGUUCAGUUCAAGCUGCUGGGAACGUUACGGAUGCUCAUCGACACACAAGCGGAUGCUGCAGAACAGUUGGGUAUGAACCGUAAGCUGGUAGAGAGGCUGGUGGAGUGGUGUGAGGCCAAGGACCAUGCAGGCGUGAUGGGAGAAUCCAACCGCCUGCUCUCAGCACUCAUUCGACACAGCAAGUCAAAGGAAGUUGUUCGGACAGUCAUUCAGUAUGGUGGUGUAAAGCACUUGGUUACCAUGGCAACGAGUGAACACAUGAUCAUGCAGAAUGAAGCACUGGUGGCCUUGGGUCUCAUAGCAGCACUAGAUUUAGAUUCAGCAGAGAAGGAUUUUGUAGGGGCCACACUAGUGCAGGUGCUGCACAAACUUCUGAUGGAGGAGAAGAGCGCUCCUGAGAUCAAAUACAACUCCAUGAUCCUCAUCUGCUCCGUCAUGGGCUCAGAGCCGCUUCAUAAAGAAGUGCAUAGCCUGGCCUUCAUUGACGUGGUGUCCAAGCUACGCACCCAUGAGAACAAAACGGUGUCCCACCAGGCCUCACUCACAGAACAGAGGCUAACGGCACAGAGCUAAAGGACUCUUGUACACCCCGCCCUCCUACAAACAUGUGCACACACACACACACACACACACUCUAUCCACUCUGCCUGCCAACCUUUCCUGUACACGCCCAUAACCUCCUAUUGACCUCACCAUCUCCCACUGUCGUGUGCCAAGGUAUCCCAUUCCUCUGCCCCCGCCCCUUCCCUGCUGUAACGACUCCUCCCUGCCCCCAUGCUGCCUGUGCAUGCGUUCCUGACUCCUGCAAAUAGGUUCUGUGAGAUACCAGAGAGCGCAUUUUCUUUUAAACAGACCGCAGCUGUGAUAUGAACGAAGCAUCCGCAUCUCAUGGAGGACGAAGACGACGGUUUUGAAAAUGCAAAAAAAAUAAUAAUAAUAAUAAAAAAAAAAUUUAAAAGUAGAUAAAAAACA
ensembl:lncRNA